AAAGUACUCCCUCCGUUCCAGAAUUCUUGUCUUGGAUUUGUCUAGAUACGGAUGUAUCAAGUCACAUUUUAGUAUUAGAUACAUUCGUAUCUAGACAAAUCUAAGACAAGAAAUUUGGGACAGAGGGAGUAGUUG
rnacentral:pre_miRNA from 1 species